GGGGAGGCAGAAGUGGAGAGGUCAGAGGUCACAGGCACCUCACAGGAUGGUUAAGGGGAUGGAGCAAUGCUCCAGGAGUGGCUCCAGCAACUCCAGCACCUGCCAGAGCCCACCCUGGCCCCAGUCACCCUGGGGGCAGAGCCAGACCCCUGCCCACCUCCAGGCUCGUGACCCUAGCCUCCCAGGCCUGCCUCCAUGCACAUCAGCGCAGGAAGCACUGCUGCGCUGCAGGUGCUGGGGACAGGCUGGCCCUCCCCUCCCGGGAUCCACGACUUGUGCACCCGGCUGCAGCCCUGGCAGCCGGCAGCACAAUCGGGCAACGGCAGUAACCUCUGGCAACAAAGUAACCCCUGGCAGCGACAAGUGCCUGCUGGCAACAAAAGUAACCGGUACUGACUGCAGGUGGGCCAUGGGGGACUCACCCAAAGGAAGCCCCGGACCACCAGCCAGGAUGACGGAUGCAGGUCGGUUGCCGGUCUGACAUCACACGUGGGGCUGCAUUCCACAAAGCCCCGGAAUAACAGGUACCACACCGAGGCCGGGGGAGGGCAGGCACAGUGUUCCACGUGGCUCCAGGCCACCCGCCUGCACGCAUAAAUGCAGCAAAAUGUUAACAUAAUUGAAAUGAGGCAGAUUCAAUAACUAGGCUUUUCCAGCACAUUCUGAGGCCACUGAAGAUGCUUUCCCGGAUGAGGGUUUAGAACAGUGAGUGGUGGAGAGCAGGCCCCUCCUGGCUGCCCCAUGCCACCAGAGGUGGCCUUACUCGCUCCAUUCCACCUGCUAGUUCUGCGUUCUUCAAGGGCCAGGCUUCCCUUGGCCACGACUCCAGGGCGGGCUGGCACCAAGCACUGGGUGGGGCUGACCUCUCAGGAGAGAGCACAGAGGUGGGAGGGACACUCAGCCAAGGAGAGGGGAGUGUCCCCCAACCACAGCCCUGAGUCGGUUCCUAGCUCGUGACAAAGCUCAUCUCCUUUGCUUCUCCUGCAGACGGGCGCAGAGCUUGCUACCGGGCCGGGUAGCAGGCUGGGCGCGGUGCCCACGGUGCCGGACAGCAGCGGCUCUCCUGAGGCUUCCCCGCAGAGCGGAGACUCGCCAGCAGCAGGUUGGCCCUGGGCUUUGUGCCUUUGGGGUCACCCAGGUUCCCCUCCGUGUGGCGGGGUGCUGCUGACGAGGCCGUGGACCUGUCUGGGCUCUACGGAAAGAGGACCUGGAGGGGCAGGCAGCUGGUCCACCCUCGGAGCGCGCAGCGGGCGGCGCAAGACACUCUUCCUGUGCCGGGGAAGCCGGCUGCCAGUGGUCAAGGCCACCCCACUGUCCUGCCCUGGAAGUGACAGGGGUCUGGUGCGGGCCAGCCUGGGACCCUGCACGGGGCACUCUCAUCACACCGACAUCCUGGCUUUGCCGCCUCUGCCAAACGCGUUCCCAGACGGUGGGGAGGCUCCUCGGGCAGAGAGGAAUCCGGUGCCACAUGGAGUGUCAGGACGAGGGUGCAGGGCGCGAGGGCCGGCCGAGCCAGGUGCAUCCUGUCGUCACUCGGAACAGCCAGGUUUCACUCAGCUAAGAACAAGCCAGCCCGCAGCUCAUCACGCAGGACACGGCAGGCAGGAAGGAGCCCGCUUAGCGCCAGGGGCCGCCGAGGGCCCACCCUGCACCGCUCCCCUAGCAGGGUUUGUGCUUGACUUCCUCGUCACAUCCAGCAAGACAACCACUCCAAGUCUGUCACUGUUUUGUUUACACAUCGUAUCAGGGAAUGUUAAUAAAUCUAAGCAUAUACUACGCUUUAGUAAUA